rnacentral:rRNA from 1 species
GCUCGUAGUUGGAUUUCGGGUGGGUUUCAGCGGUCCGCCUAUGGUGAGCACUGCUGUGGCCUUCCUUACUGUCGGGGACCUGCUUCUGGGCUUCAUUGUCCGGGACAGGGAUUCGGCAUGGUUACUUUGAGUAAAUUAGAGUGUUCAAAGCAGGCUUACGCCGUGAAUACUUUAGCAUGGAAUAACACGAUAGGACUCUGCCCUAUUCUGUUGGCCUGUAGGAGUGGAGUAAUGAUUAAGAGGAACAGUCGGGGGCAUUCGUAUUUCAUUGUCAGAGGUGAAAUUCUUGGAUUUAUGAAAGACGAACUACU